rnacentral:rRNA from 1 species
UACGGAGGGCGCGAGCGUUGUCCGGAAUCACUGGGCGUAAAGGGCGCGUAGGCGGCCCUGGUAAGUCUGCGGUGAAAGCCCGGGGCUCAACCCCGGGUCGGCCGCGGGUACUGCCGGGCUGGAGUGCCGUAGGGGCAGGCGGAAUUCCGGGUGUAGCGGUGGAAUGCGUAGAUAUGUCACAGAACACCGAUCGCGAAGGCAGCUAACGAAACUAUCACUGACACUGAUGCACGAAAGCGUGGGGAGCAAACAGG